CGGAUCCAUACUAUCACUACGGGAGAGAGAACACACAACAACAGGACGUCAAAUUACAAUCAUGCAUUACGCCGCGUAACGUUAACAACUAAACAACAGAGCACCAUUUCAAAGUCCAGGACCGUUUCUCCACCGUUCACUGGAAUCUCUACAGCACACGGACUGUUAGAUUUUGUAUGGCAGUCGGAAUAAAUCCAGUUCUGGGAAUUCAGCUACAACGACAGAGCAGCCCAACCGAAUGCCUGCCUGUCUUCCUUUAACAUCACUUUCAGAGUUACUGUCAAGGGGGCAAUUUAGGUACCCUCCAUACAUUCAUUCUUAUUGAUUCUUACGCAUCUUAAUGUCUCCUACCCUUCCGACUGCUCUCCAAAAUAAAACGGAAAAGUACUCUGUGUCUACGUUUCUACCUUGUGAAAUAAACAAAAUUCAUCUUUCAAUCCUU